AUCUAUGGUCAAUCACUCUUUUCCAAAGCUUCAUGAUGUGAUCAUACACCUAAUACCACAUUGGUUUGCAAGACUUCGAAUCUCUCUUUUGUAUUUGUAUAUGUUCGAAACAAAGUACUUUUUUCACCUGUUUGACUCGUCUCAGAUGUUAGUAUAACAUUAAAUAGCCUCGUUUGCCAAGCUACUCGACAGGAUACCAUGUGGAAAACAUACUUUUCUAUCUCUCAUAUUUUUCAUGG
rnacentral:misc_RNA from 1 species